GAGUCGGUUCCUGUUUCCUCUCUGAUUCUGACUGUGAAGUGAUCUCCUCAGCUCUGAAGUCUGGCCACUCCCAUCUGAAACAUCUGCACUUGAGUAACAACAACCUGCAGGAUUCAUCAGUGGAGAUUGUGUGUGCUGGACUGGAGAGUGCAAACUGUAAACUGGAGACUCUGAGGUUGAGUCGCUGCAGGUUGUCAGUGAUCAGCUGUUCUUCUCUGGUCUCAGCUCUGAAGUCCAACCUCUCCAACCUGAAAGAGCUCCACCUGCGUUGCAACUGGCUACAGGAUCCAGAUGUGCAGCAGCUGGUUGCUCUUCAGCAGAGUCCAUUCUGCAGCCUGCAGACUCUGAGGUCAAGUUGAGAGCAGAGAGGAGACUGUGUCCUGAAGAUCGACUGAGAGCAGAGCUUCAUCCAGCAGUGAGUGACGGAGGAACCACCAGAAGAUCUGCAGUGUGAAGGGCUGUGAGAGUCCAGCAUCGAACCAGGUUUUCUAUGGAUGUGACACACUGGUUAACAGGAGAAUUUCAAACUGGCCCUCCAUGUUAAGCCAUCUUUCCA